CUACGGCCGUCAGACUUCCGUUUAAGCCCCGCGGGAAUGUGAGAGCUGCAUCUGAUGCAUCACACCGUUCCGUGGGAGAUCUCCCGUGAGAAACCACGCUCUUGUUUUCACGUGACACCCAACAGAGCGAUAUCCCACACAGCAGAUCUUUCUGCUGCCGUCAGACGUCCCUUAAGAUUCAGGGAGAGGUCUGAGAGAAAGACUUAUAUCAGUAGCAUAUAAGCAGUAGCAUGUAGCAUUGGUGUGCUCGCCUUUGUACUCAGCUCGGUGAUGAAAACAUCUUAUCAUCCUUCAUCCAUCAUCAUCAUCAUCAUCGUCAUCCUCUUUAGUCAUUACAGCUGCGAUGCAGUCACCACACGUUAGUCAACAAUGCUCAGACCGUGUCUUCGUGGCACACCCAACAAGCCAGCAGACGUCAGACGUGCCAACCAUGGCAGAGGUCUGAACUCUAUACAGAGUUAUUGUGUCGCCACAUGUAUCGCACACAAUUACAGUGCUGUUGUUGUCUGUUAUCGUAGUACUUGCUGUUGUUGUUGUUGUUUCGUGUAUCUUGUAUCUUGGGUUCCCUCUCUUGUAUUUCACAAGGCACUGAUUCUCCUUUGGAAUGUGCAGGAUACACUGUUGCAAAGGUCAGACGUGCCAGAUCAGCUGGCAGAGGUCUGAACCAUACAGAGUUAUUGUACGGUCUCAUGUGUCUCUUCACACUACUCAGACUUGAGAAGGCAGCAUCACACAGAUCACACUUAUACGGGUUCUCUCCCGUGUGCGCGUGUGCGCAUGUGCGCGAGUCUCCGCUGCUCAUGCCUCGCCGACAUAUCUGUCAGCAAGUCUCCCAGCGACCGUCAGACUUCCCUUAAAGUUAAGGGAGAGGUCUGAAAGAAAGACUUGUCAAGUCUUUCUCUAUUUUGUUCUCAUGUGCGCGCUGCUUACCCGGUGAUGAAAACAUCUAGGAGGGAUGAAUUCAACGUCAGACAAUGCAUUGCGAUGCAGAGGUCUGAGAACCGAUCCUAGAUGGUCAGGUUCUAUUACUGAUAACUUGAUGUUGUUGUUGUU